AUACGUAGGUGGCGAGUGUUGUCCGGAUUUACUGGGCGUAAAGCGCGCGCAGGCGGCCGGCCAAGUCUCGGGUGAAAGCUCCCGGCUCAACCGGGAGAGGUCUCGAGAUACUGGUCGGCUCGAGGGGAGCAGAGGAGAGUGGAAUUCCCGGUGUAGCGGUGAUAUGCGUAGAUAUCGGGAGGAACACCGGUGGCGAAGGCGGCUCUCUGGGCUCUCCCUGACGCUGAGGCGCGAAAGCGUGGGGAGCAAACCGGAUUAGAAACCCUAGUAGUCC
rnacentral:rRNA from 1 species